GGGCUUGUACCGGAAGCCGAAAAGUCAUCCAAGUCAGAAGGGAUAAGACAAGAGUAGAACGUCCAUUUGCAUCUGGAACUCUGAUCUGUUGCAAGCAAUAAAAGAACUGAAGACUGGACUGAACAAGGCUGUGGGACUGAAAAAGCCAGAAGAACAAGUCCUGCUGAAGACGUGACUGACAUUGUUURAUGGUUUUGCAUCCAAAUACCAUCAGAGUAAAAAGGUUCUGUUGGCAUCCUGAUAACAAACCUGAGCAAGGCCACAAUUUCUAAUCAGCCAAUCACAUGGCGGCAACUCAGUGCAUUUAGGCAUGUAGACGUGGUCAAGACAAUCUUCUGCAG